rnacentral:rRNA from 1 species
UACGAAGGGGGCUAGCGUUGUUCGGAAUCACUGGGCGUAAAGCGUACGUAGGCGGAUUGUUAAGUCAGGGGUGAAAGCCCGAGGCUCAACCUCGGAACUGCCUUUGAUACUGGCAAUCUUGAGUCCGGGAGAGGUGAGUGGAACUCCGAGUGUAGAGGUGAAAUUCGUAGAUAUUCGGAAGAACACCAGUGGCGAAGGCGGCUCACUGGCCCGGUACUCGACGCUGAUGUGCGAAAGCGGUGGGAGCAAACAGGG